GAGAGUAUAGCUCAGUGGUUAGGGUACAUGCUUAGCAUGCACAAGGUCCUGGGUUCAAUCCCCAGUACCUCCA
rfam:Camelus ferus unplaced genomic scaffold scaffold1244, whole genome shotgun sequence.